ACCAGACUCCUACGGGAGGCAGCAGUGGGGGAUAUUGCACAAUGGGGGGAACCCUGAUGCAGCGACGCCGCGUGGGUGAAGAAGUAUUUCGGUAUGUAAAGCCCUAUCGGCAGGGAAGAAAUUGGACGGUACCUGACUAAGAAGCCCUGGCUAACUACGUGCCAGCAGCCGCGGUAAUACGUAGGGGGCAAGCGUUAUCCGGAUUCACUGGGUGUAAAGGGAGCGUAGACGGCCAUGCAAGCCUGGAGUGAAAGCCCGGGGCCCAACCCCGGGACUGCUCUGGGAACUGUGCGGCUGGAGUGCGGGAGGGGCAGGCGGAAUUCCUGGUGUAGCGGUGAAAUGCGUAGAUAUACGGAGGAACACCAGUGGCGAAGGCGGAUUGCUGGACAGUAACUGACGCUGAGGCGCGAAAGCGUGGGGAGCAAACAGGAUUAGAUACCCUGGUA
rnacentral:rRNA from 1 species